rnacentral:rRNA from 1 species
UGUAGUAAUACAAGGCAGACGGCUCAGUAACGCGUAGUCAACCUACCCUAUGGACGGGGAUAACCUCGGGAAACUGAGAAUAAUACCCGAUAGAACAUUAUGCCUGGAAUGGUUUAUGUUUCAAAUAAUUUAUUGCCGUAGGAUGGGACUGCGGCCUAUCAGUUUGUUGGUGAGGUAAUGGCCCACCAAGACUAUUACAGGUACGGGCUCUGAGAGGAGUAGCCCGGAGAUGGGUACUGAGACACGGACCCAGGCCCUAUGGGGCGCAGCAGGCGAGAAAACUUUGCAAUGUGCGAAAGCACGACAAGGUUAAUCCGAGUGGUUUCUGCUAAAGGAACCUUUUGUCAGUCCUAGAAACAUUGAUGAAUAAGGGGUGGGCAAGUUCUGGUGUCAGCCGCCGCGGUAAAACCAGCACCUCAAGUGGUCAGGAUGAUUAUUGGGCCUAAAGCAUCCGUAGCCUGCUUUGUUAGUUUUCGGUUAAAUCCAUACGCUCAACGCAUGGGCUGCCGGGAAUACUGCAAAGCUAGGGAGUGGGAGAGGUAGACGGUACUCGGUAGGAAGGGGUAAAAUCCUUUGAUCUAUUGAUGACCACCUGUGGCGAAGGCGGUCUACCAGAACACGUCCGACGGUGAGGGAUGAAAGCUGGGGGAGCAAACCGGAUUAGAUACCCGGGUAGUCCCAGCUGUAAACUAUGCAAACUCAGUGAUGCAUUGGCUUGAUGCCAAUGCAGUGCUGCAGGGAAGCCGUUAAGUUUGCCGCCUGGGAAGUACGUACGCAAGUAUGAAACUUAAAGGAAUUGGCGGGGGAGCACCACAAGGGGUCAAGCCUGCGGUUCAAUUGGA